rnacentral:rRNA from 1 species
UACGUAGGGCGCAAGCGUUAUCCGGAAUUAUUGGGCGUAAAGAGCUCGUAGGCGGUUUGUCGCGUCUGCCGUGAAAGUCCGGGGCUCAACUCCGGAUCUGCGGUGGGUACGGGCAGACUAGAGUGAUGUAGGGGAGACUGGAAUUCCUGGUGUAGCGGUGAAAUGCGCAGAUAUCAGGAAGAACACCCGUGGCGAAGGCGGCUCUCUGGGACGGUACUGACGCUGAGACGCGAAAGCGUGGGAGCGAACAGG